UCCAUUUAUUAUUUGCAAGGGGGUUUAUAUCCGCACAUCCAGGUGGUAGAACCACUUCUGUUUCAAACAUGGACUGGGGAAAGACAUUAAGUUUGGAGCAGCUCAGGGCUACGGAUCUAGCCUUUCUCCCUCGGGUCUCCAGACUCACUUAGGUCCAAGCUGCGGAGCAGGGACAGCGGAGCCCAGGCAGCCACGUUCAGGCCCAGCCAUCAGCUGCUGAGAAGCAAAAGGAAACCUACUCCUUUGGAAGACCAUUCCCCUAGGUGACCUUGCCACUGCUGUGGACCCCCUUCAACACUGGUCGCUGAACACCGACUUCAAGAAGACUCCAUGGAUGACGUCCAGUCUUAUCAACUGCAGCUUUCCCUGUACAUUUCCUUCUUUGCUUUCUUCCUUCCAUUGAGGCUCUCAUCAGGGUCAAAUCAGAGAUGACCCAACUGGACAACAGACUGGAGGACUGACCUCUUAAGAGUGCCAACGCUUAACAGUGCGCUGUCAGAUCCAUAGAAAGAUAAGAAGAAGACAAUACACUAUGUGGAAGGGAGAGGAAUGGCUUGAUAAUUACUUAGAGGCUGAGAGUUAGGAACAAUCAAAUUUAGAAGAAUGUGGACUUUCUGUUUUUUAACUGCAGGACUUCUGUUUCCCCCCUACUGGGAUGUAUAAUCUGGGUGUUCCUGCUGGAAUGUGAGUCAGAGGAGCGGCUAAGUAGUCUAGUGGUUUUCCCACUUAGCUCUUGUCCUUUAGAAAGAGACACCAAACCAUUAGUCUCUAUAUUGCAUCUCUGUACUAUACGUCUGUCUGCACUUUUGACCUGGAAGACAUUGGCAUUGCCUAUAUUGUAGGAUAAAGGUCAAUGAUCAUGUUGAAGGAGAGACACUUGCUGGAAGCAAAGAGAAUCAAAUGAUUGAACUUCACUCAUCUACCCAGUGGUCACAGAGCUGGCAGCCCUCCACACUCCAAGCCUCUACUCAGCUGGGUGUGGUGAAACUCUAGCACUUAGGAGGCUUCAGUAGGAGAAUCUCAUAUUGAAGCUCUGACUGGGCUACACAGAGACUCUCAAAACAAAACAACAGUAACAACACCCCUUCCCUUGAAAAAAGAUUCCUGACAUUAAAGAGCCUGUUUUAUCAGCUUAGUUUAAUGGUUUAUUUUAUAUAAAAGAAAUAUAUUUUUUGAUCUUUUUCAUGGCAAAUAAAUUAUUUCAAUAAUUCUGACUGGAUUGCAAUCUAUAUACUAUGCCCCUCUAAAAAAUAUUGCAAUAGUCUUUGCCACACAGAGGAGUGUUGCUUCUUAGCUAGUGAGCUUGUUAACCAAAAAUGACCAUCUAGAUCAGGCUUUCUUAAACUGUUUCUAUUCAUUGUCCCUUUCCUUUGAGAAAUUUUUAUAUGACUCCAUGUACAUAAAGUAGUUCUAUAAAUCAAACAGUUACUCAUAAUAAAUUAUUAAGAAAUAUGUCUCAAAAUAAUUCUUUUAUACACAGAUAAUUCCUACGGUUCAUAAUUCAUAGUUUUUCAAGACAGGUUUUUCUUUAGAGUAGCUUUGAGUCUGUCCUGGAAGUUGCUCUGUAGGCCAGGCUGGCCUAGAAACUACAGGGAUUGACCUAUCUCAGCCUCCUGAGUGCCAGGGUUAAAGGAAUGUAUUACCAUCAUCUGACAAUUUUGAUACAUAUUAAAAAUAAAAAAUCUGUAUACUAAAAAGAUAUAGGUGCUUUCUCACUGUGCCAGAAGGAAUUACACCUUGAUAGAAAAUUUGAUUUUGGCAGGACACAGAAAGUCUUCACCAUUCUCCAGAAUUGACUAUUAUUUUGAUUUUAUAACCAUCCAUGCUGAGAAUUCUACUUUAUAUAAAAAUUUGCAAAAUGGUAAUAGAAUAAAAAUGACAGAAGUAUAUUUAGAGUCAUUUCAAAGAUUGUUGGCAGUUCUAUCUUAAUACCAAUCCAAAACUUAUUCGAUAAAUUUAAAAAUAAAACUAAGUCAGUAAACUACUUUGUCUCUAAGCUGGCAGAAAACACUGUAUAGAUAAUAAAAGCAUUGUGAUACAUGGAAUAGAGUAGUCUCAGGUCAUCAUUUGUUGCUGUUGUAUACGACAUGUAAAGUGUUAAAUGUGCAUGUUCUGUGCCCUUAGAUCCAAGGACUCAAUGAACUUGUGGGAUGCAAUACAGGUGAGCAUGCCCUGAAACACCUCAGAUUUGUUAUGCAUUGGAAUUUAAAUUAACUAUUGGUUGUUCCAGAUUCAGAAACCCUUCACUGCUGCAGUAUUCUUCGAAACCCCUACAUUCAGUUUUGUGCCCCACAUGUGGAUGGGAGCCUCCAUAUAAGAUUAGAAGCUGGGUUUUAAAUACUUAUUGACUGGUUUAAGAAAGAUGUUCCAUCAAGGUUUAGCUGGAGGUGUUGGGCGUCAAACAGAGGGGCUCAUCCUCCAUGCAUCUUUUUUGAAACUAACAAGGACAGUCAGUUCUUUCUUGAUAAGAACAUUGCUGCUUAGGACUUUAAAUUGUCUUUCAAGUAUUUACUUCAACAUCUCCUAGAAGAAAAUCUAGCUUCAGAGUUUAUUAUUAUGUAUAUUGGUUUGCAGUGCACAAGACUAAACCCAGGGCCUUGUGCGUAUUAUGCAAGGACUCUUGCUCUACCUCAACUCUAAACUUAGUCUGAAUGCACCAGUCUUUGCAUGCUCUCAACUACCUUUUUUGGGGGGGGUUCUUUAGUUUCAAUUUAUUCUCUCCUUUUGUUGUUGCUGUUCCUGGGUACGUGAUAAUUUUUAUUUCAUGUGGUUGUGGUAAGCUAAGUAUGAAAAAUUAGAAAUGCCAAAGUGUGGAAUUUGAUGAAAUAAAGAUACAAAGUACACCAUGUUGUCAUGUAAGGGAAUGAGGUAGUUCUCUAUAUGGAAUCACUUUCAAGACAUAUAACUAACAUUUAGUAGGCAAAGCAUAGAACAAUAUACGCAGUGUGCUACUGUUUGUAUAUGCAUAUACAGAGGUAUAUUCAGUAUGCUUCUAUGCUUUGUGUGGCCAUGGAAAGACAUUAAGGAAGUGAUAAUAGUGGUUGUCUCUAGGGAGAAAUUGGCUGGGAGAUUGGAAGACUAUUCUGCUGUCCUAUUAUAUAGUGUAACAUGUUCAUGUAUUAUCUAUUAAUAUUUUUAUAAGGCAGAAGGCAGAGCUAUUUUUACUGAGAUGGAAAAAUAUAAAAGGCAUAUUGUUAUGUAUAAAGAACAAAUUAUGGAAUAGUGUAACUAGUAUAUGAUCUGGCUUUUGUAAAGUAAUCAUAAAUAUAUAUAUUGUAAAGUAAUCAUAAAUAUAUAUACAUACAUACUUACAUCCAUAUAUAUACACACAUAUAUAUAUGGAUGGCAAACACUUGUAUGUGUAAGAACGUGAACCAAAGUCAGGGGAGAUAGGAAAUGUGUGUUCAGGUAUAGACUUUCACUUUUUUUAUCCUAUGCACUUCUGUUUUCAUGCCAAGCACAUCACACAUCGAUAUACUAGAAAUAAUUCAUAAAGCAUUAAUUAAACUGGACACCAAUCAAAACUUUGCAGAUCAAUGUUUUGGUUCAGCUAUUCAUGUUGUAUCUCACAGACUCAGGUCUGAUCUCUUUCUCAAUCUCCUCUUUGAGGCUUGCUGAAUCUCCCAUUCCUUUGCCCAUGCUUUUCUCUGCUUCCCAGCAUUAAGAGGGCCAAGCUAAGGUUGUCACUAAGAAGCCACACUAACACCGCUAUGGAUUCUCUGUCAACCACUUUCCUUUUAAAUUAAAUUAACGAAUCUUUUGGAGACAGGCUGUCUUGAGGUUGCUAUGUAGAUGUUGAUGACCUUGAACUCCUGAUCCUCCAGCUUCGGCACCCCAAGCACUGGGAUUUAAGGUGUGAUGGGACCAGAGCUUCAUAUUCACUAGGUGAGCAUUCUCCCAACUGAGUUACAUCCCCAGCCACAUUCAUUUUCUUUGUAAUUAAUACAAAAAAAAUGAGGUUGCUCAAAUCUCUGUUUGCCGACUUUACAGUCUUCGCUUUGGGUUAAAUGAAUCACCCCACCUCUUUAGGAAGGUACCUAGGUUUUCUGGAUCAUUUAUAUCAAUCAUCACAUAAGUCCAGUAAGGCUCCAAUCUCAACAAACAAAACCCAAGAAACCCUCUUUGCCUCCACACUUCUUCCAAAAACUGCUCCAUUUCUCCAACCUCGUGGUGAUUCUUAAAAUGUUUCCCUUACUUUUGUAAAGCCCCCCCCCAUGCCCUCAUUCACUUGGCAUCCCACUUCUCUCACAAUUUCAAUGGCGACCAAAUGUUCUCCCUAAUUUCUGUUUUCAAGGUCAUGGUAUUUGGUUGCAAAAUCGGUGGUUCUCAUCUUCUCAAUUCAUUGAUCAAAUGCCUCCUUGGUCUUCAUUUUUCCUUCUUCUCUUCUCCUCUCCUUGUCUCUUGGAUCUCCCCCUAUGUUACAGUGGUUCCUUCUUUAUUCUUUUCACCUUGGAAUGUUGGGUUUCUCAUGGCUUCACUCUUGGAGACAUCUGUCUUCUUGCUUUAAACUAAUUUGUGUUUAACUCUGAAUAGCAUUUCCAUACUGCUAUCUGAUCAAACUCCAACUUGUACCUAGACUUACAGAUUCACUGUCUUUUUGAUACUAAUAUUUAACUUUGUAAGAGCCAUCUCAAACCUAGCAGAACAGAUAGACCUCUUUAUGUCGAUAAAUGACAACUCCAUUGGAGUUUUCCUUUUUGAAUAUGACCUGAACCUAAUUACUUUCUAUAGCUUUCAUACCAAAACCCCUGUCUAGCAUCUGCACCAGUCACCUGACUUAGAACAAUAGACUCUUGUAGAACUUGGCUCCUUAAAAAUCUGUGUGUUUUAAAUACAUAAAUUACAGCAUAUCAUUGCUUUGCACAACAUUCUCAAAUGGUUUCUACCACAUUCAGCAUAAAAUCUACAGUCCUUUCUAUAAACUUUAAGGCUUGCAAUGCCUCUUAAACUCACCUUUUAUCUCUGAUCUCAUUCUAUCCUUACCCCCUUCACUGUUUUCAUGUCAGAGCAACCUGGCUGCUUUUGGCACAUGCUUCCACCUCAGAACUGGUACUUACAGUAUCUGCCAGGAAGACUCUUUGAUGUGCUCCUUUCCUUUAUCCUGCCCAUGUGUCACCUCAUCAGAAAAUCUUCCUUGAGCACUGUGUCUGGAGCACUAGGCUGUCUCACUCGGACCAUGUACCCCGAUUUAUUUUCUGUAUCGCCUGAUAUGUUGCCUAUGCAUUUGACUAAUAUUUGCUUAUGAUUUAUCUGCCCAAGAAUAGACAAAACAGCUAUUUUGUCUCAGUUAAUACAUCUCUAAUAUUCAGAAGAAAAUGAUUGUUACAGAGUAACUUAAAAGAAUUUUCUGAGUUUUCAAAAGAGAUGAUAAGAGGUUCUCUUUAGCAUAUUUUCGUUACAUGAAAUUCUUAAGAUGGUUUAUUUUUCCAUUAAAAAUUUCUCCUGUCUUUAAGUUACAAAAAACUGUUUCAUUUUUUUUCUUUAGAAACUAUUGUAGACUCACAAAUACUGGCAAAAGUAGUAUAAAUAACUCUAUUUACUCUUCAUCUAUUGUUUCCCAAAUUGUUUUCUCUAACCAUCCUUCUAAUUUUCUAAGCUCUAGUUUCUUCAAUCUUUUACAAUUUUAUUUUAAAACACAGAUUGCCAGGAUCUCCCUGCCAACUCUUGAAAACCUAGGAACUUACCCAUAGUAGACAAGCUCUAUGCCAUGUCUCCCCCUGACCCAAUUCCCCUUCUUAUUUUGUUGGUGUAUUUUCUUCUACACCAGAUUCAAAUUCCUCUGCCAAGAUGAUGUAUUAUGCAAGAAAGGGAAAGGAUAUUUUAAUUAAAUGGGAGAAAAUAGGUUUAACCAAAGUUUUUAAUAGUUAAAAGAAAAA